rnacentral:rRNA from 1 species
CCUACGGGUGGCAGCAGUGGGGAAUAUUGCACAAUGGGGGAAACCCUGAUGCAGCGACGCCGCGUGAGUGAAGAAGUAAUUCGUUACGUAAAGCUCUAUCAGCAGGGAAGAAACACUGACCUUACGGUCAGCAGACGGUACCUGAGUAAGAAGCCCCGGCUAACUACGUGCCAGCAGCCGCGGCAAUACGUAGGGGGCAAGCGUUAUCCGGAUUUACUUGGUUGAAAGGGAGCGUAGACGGCGCGGCAAGUCGGGAGUGAAAUGCCGCAGCUUAACUGCGGAACUGCUUUGGAUACUGGCGAACUAGAGUGCGGGAGGGGUAAGCGGAAUUCCUAGUGUAGCGGUGAAAUGCGUAGAUAUUAGGAGGAACACCGGUGGCGAAGGCGGCUUACUGGACCGUAACUGACGCUGAGGCUCGAAAGCGUGGGGAGCAAACAGGAUUAGAUACCCGGGUAGUC